rnacentral:rRNA from 1 species
AUUUGACCUCAAAUCAGGUAGGAGUACCCGCUGAACUUAAGCAUAUCAAUAAGCGGAGGAAAAGAAAAUAACAAUGAUUCCCCUAGUAACUGCGAGUGAAGAGGGACAAGCUCAAAUUUUAAAUCUGUUAGGUUUACCUAACCGAGUUGUAAUUUGAAGAGGCGUUUUCUGUGUUUUUGAUCAGCCCAAGUCCUUUGGGAUAGGGCAUCAUGGAGGGUGAGAAUCCCGUUCGGUUGGUCAGAUUCGCUUUACGAUACGUCAUCUAAGAGUCAAGUUGUUUGGGAUUGCAGCUUAAAAUGGGAGGUAAAUUUCUCCUAAGGCUAAAUAACGGCGAGAGACCGAUAGCGAACAAGUACCGUGAGGGAAAGAUGAAAAGAACUUUGAAAAGAGAGUUAAACAGUACGUGAAAUUGUUGAAAGGGAAACGAUUGAAGCCAGUCGUACCUUCGGGUAAUCAGCCUUUCGGGUGCGAUUCUGUGGAGCGUGGGGAGUUAAACGCCUUCAUGCCUGCAUAUUCGUGCACUUUGGGUGUACUUGCCCGUGUGGUAGGUUAACAUCAAUUUCGGAUGUCAUAAAAUGGCUGGAGGAAUGUAGCUUCGGUCUCGUACUGAAGUGUUAUAGCCUUUGGUAGAUGUGAUGACCGGGAUUGAGGAUUGCAACGAAUACCUUUUGGGCUAUCCGUCUGAUCUCUGAAAGUUGCUCUGGUGCCGAAAGCUUGCUUACGGUUAUCAAAGUUGACGUUCAAAAGGUUAGAACGGGUUAAAUUCGUUAAGGAUGUUGACGUAAUGGCUUUAAACGACCCGUCUUGAAACACGGACCAAGGAGUCUAACAUAUAUGCGAGUGUUUGGGUGAUCAAACCCUUACGCGUAAUGAAAGUAAUUUAGGUGGGAACAUUUUUGUGCACCAUCGACCGAUCAGGAUAUUUUUUGAUAGAUUUGAGUAAGAGCAUAUCUGCUAGGACCCGAAAGAUGGUGAACUAUGCCUGAAUAGGGUGAAGCCAGAGGAAACUCUGGU